CUGAUUUGUGGUAACUCCAAAGUUUUGAAUGCCUCCCUAGCUGUAGCAGCAAUACUGGUUUCUAUCAAGGGAAGGUACUUGUAAAACCAUGUCUGGGGUUGGGGGAUGGAAGGAAGGCAGCAGGUACAGGACAGCUACUGCCUCCCAUACUCCAUCUUCCUCUCAGGGUAACCCCUGGCACGGCAACAGUGAAAUGGAGAAAGGUGAAAAUGCCCAGAAGCUGGCAGCUUCUGAAGAGAAACAAAGAGGCCAAGCAUCAGCCCACCCACAGCAGCAACAUCGGUAUUGCUAAGAAAGAGCUUGAUGACCUGGAGCAAUGGAAGAAAGAACACAGGCCAGGGCCAAUUAUGUUGGUGCCACAGAGACUGGGUAAGACAUGUAAAUCAGCAAUUGAGAAAUGCAGAAUUUAAUUUUCCAAGACAUGAGACAUUUUUCACUUUUUCUCACUACUUAUUAUAAAGAAAUUCAGUGUCAAUAAAGGCUGACAUGAGCCCA
rnacentral:lncRNA from 1 species